CCUACGGGGUGCAGCAGUGAGGAAUAUUGGUUAAUGGGCGUAAGCCUGAACCAGCCAAGUCGCGUGAGGGAUGAAGGUUCUAUGGAUCGUAAACCUCUUUUAUAAGGGAAUAAAGUGUGGGACGUGUCCUAUUUUGUAUGUACCUUAUGAAUAAGGAUCGGCUAACUCCGUGCCAGCAGCCGCGGUAAUACGGAGGAUCCGAUCGUUAUCCGGAUUUAUUGGGUUUAAAGGGUGCGUAGGCGGCCUUUUAAGUCAGUGGUGAAAGUUUGUGGCUCAACCGUAGAAUUGCCGUUGAAACUGGGGGGCUUGAGUAUGUUUGAGGCAGGCGGAAUGCGUGGUGGAGCGGUGAAAUGCUUAGAUAUCACGCAGAACCCCGAUUGCGAAGGCAGCCUGCCAAGCCAUGACUGACGCUGAUGCACGAAAGUGUGGGGAUCAAACAGGAUUAGAUACCCUAGUAGUC
rnacentral:rRNA from 1 species